rnacentral:tRNA from 1 species
UCGGCGGAGUCCAGCCUGGUAAGACUUCAGCCCCCCAAGCUGAUAACCCGGGUUCAAAUCCCGGCGGCCGCACCA